UACGGAAGGAGCAGUGGGGAAUAUUGCACAAUGGGCGCAAGCCUGAUGCAGCCAUGCCGCGUGUAUGAAAAAGGCCUUCGGGUUGUAAAGUACUUUCAGUCGUGAGGAAGGUGUUAAGGUUAAUAACCUUAGCAAUUGACGUUAGCGACAGAAGAAGCACCGGCUAACUCCGUGCCAGCAGCCGCGGUAAUACGGAGGGUGCGAGCGUUAAUCGGAAUUACUGGGCGUAAAGGGCACGCAGGCGGUUAAUUAAGUUGGAUGUGAAAUCCCCGGGCUUAAACCUGGGAAUGGCAUUCAAGACUGGUUAGCUAGAGUCUUGUAGAGGGGGUAGAAUUCCAUGUGUAGCGGUGAAAUGCGUAGAGAUGUGGAGGAAUACCGGUGGCGAAGGCGGCCCCUGGACAAAGACUGACGCUCAUGUGCGAAAGCGUGGGGAGCAAACAGGGAUUAGAUACC
rnacentral:rRNA from 1 species